AGACGGAGGGUGCUAACGUUGCUCGGAAUUACUGGGCGUAAAGCGCGUGUAGGCGGGUCGGAAAGCGAGAUGUGAAAGCCCUCGGCUCAACCGAGGAAGUGCAUUUCGAACUAUCGACCUUGAGUGCGGGAGAGGGUGGUAGAAUUCCCGGUGUAGAGGUGAAAUUCGUAGAUAUCGGGAGGAAUACCGGUGGCGAAGGCGGCCACCUGGACCGACACUGACGCUGAGACGCGAAAGCGUGGGGAGCAAACAGGAUUAGAAACCCUAGUAGUCC
rnacentral:rRNA from 1 species